rnacentral:rRNA from 1 species
GGAAUCACUGGGCGUAAAGCGUGCGUAGGCGGUUGUGUAAGUCUGAAGUGAAAGUCCAAGGCUCAACCUUGGGAUUGCUUUGGAAACUGCAUGACUUGAGUGCUGGAGAGGCAAGGGGAAUUCCACGUGUAGCGGUGAAAUGCGUAGAUAUGUGGAGGAAUACCAGUGGCGAAGGCGCCUUGCUGGACAGUGACUGACGCUGAGGCACGAAAGCGUGGGGAGCAAACAGGAUUAGAUACCCUGGUAGUCCACGCCGUAAACGAUGAGUGCUAGGUGUUGGGGGGACACACCCCAGUGCCGAAGGAAACCCAAUAAGCACUCCGCCUGGGGAGUACGGUCGCAAGACUGAAACUCAAAGGAAUUGACGGGGGCCCGCACAAGCAGUGGAGCAUGUGGUUUAAUUCGAAGCAACGCGAAGAACCUUACCAGGGCUUGACAUCCCUCUGACCGGUGCAGAGAUGYACCUUCCCUUUGGGGCAGAGGAGACAGGUGGUGCAUGGUUGUCGUCAGCUCGUGUCGUGAGAUGUUGGGUUAAGUCCCGCAACGAGCGCAACCCUUGAUCUGUGUUACCAGCACGUGAUGGUGGGGACUCACAGGUGACUGCCGGCGUAAGUCGGAGGAAGGCGGGGAUGACGUCAAAUCAUCAUGCCCUUUAUGUCCUGGGCUACACACGUGCUACAAUGGGCGGUACAACGGGAAGCGAAGCCGCGAGGUGGAGCCAAACCUAAAAAGCCGUUCGUAGUUCGGAUUGCAGGCUGCAACUCGCCUGCAUGAAGCCGGAAUUGCUAGUAAUCGCGGAUCAGCAUGCCGCGGUGAAUCCGUUCCCGGGCCUUGUACACACCGCCCGUCACACCACGAGAGUCGGCAACACCCGAAGUCGGUGAGGUAACCAUGAUGGAGCCAGCCGCCGAA